AGGUCUCAGAUCAGGUGGGAAGACCCGCUGAACUUAAGCAUAUCAAUAAGCGGAGGA
rnacentral:rRNA from 1 species